GACCUAAUGGCAAAGCUGGUAUCGCAUCCGCACUUCAUGUAUAAGCAUGUUCCAGAAUUUUCGGCGGAAGUCCCCGGUUCGAACCCGGGCUCGGUCA